GCUGGCGAGGCGCCGUGGGUAGGUCUACCGCGGCGAGGACGCCCAACCUUCGGAAUAUAAUAUAGAGCAUUCUUCAGCGAGGGAAGUUUACCGGAGGCUGAACACUGAGCGAGGAUCUUGGCGUUCUCGGCUCAGGUGUGGACCGAGGGAAGUUUUGCUUCAGCUUGUGACGAAACGGAUCAGAAGUUUCUGGCACCACAUCGUAGAUCCUUCCACGGAGACGAGCAUUAGAUCUAACAAUGGUGAUGAUGAUCCUGAUGAAGGCCACAAGCCAAAAUGUGUCAGUGGAGCAGUGAAGUUUUCUGAAUCAUUCAAAUGUUCUUCGAGAUCCAACUUUCUAUUUCCUUAUUGCUUCAGGACUCUGUGUGGUGAUUUCACUGACAGCUUAUUUAUUAAUAAGUAAUUAUUUAUAUUAUUGUUGAAAACAACUCCAAGAGGUAAUUUAGUUUUAUAGAAGAGAGCAGUCUCUCUGUCAGGUGAACAUCUACAAGUAUACUAACAAAUUAAAUCUGAAGAUGACAGUCAGUAAUGCAGCCUGAUUUAAAAACAUUAAUAUGGAAAUAAAAGAUUGAAUGAGUGACUGCUGCUGUCUGAACUUGUAAUGUGACUCUUUCCUUACUUGUUUAAAAUGUCUGAAUGAUUAGUCAUUACUGCUUUUCUUAAAAUCUCAACACAGAAGAAGAAUAAAAAUGAAAUGAUGUGAAAUUAGUCA